ACAAAUUUUUCAGCCCUUGAAAAAAGCCCACAACCAAAUUUUCAUCCCUUGAAAAAAGCCACAACAAAAUUUAAAAAUAUAGCCCAGAACGUAACCUACAAACACAUCUCGUUCCAAACAGCUCUAUCACUCUCUCGCUGAAACCUUGAAACUGAGAAGGCAUAGAGAUCUCAUAGAGCUCGACGAUCAUGGAGAUCUCAUAGAGCUCACCUAUCAUCGAUUAGGUACGAGUUGAUCUCAGUUUGUGACUCUUCAUCUCUCUUGGCAUUGUGUUUCUCAGCUCCAAUUAGGUACGAAUCACAAACCCUAAUUUCGUCUUUGAUUUUUUUGUUUUUUUGGUUUUCUAACACUUUCAUCGAUUUCCCCAUAAUUUUCAUUUCACAUUUCUUAGAAAGCUGAGCUCAUCAUCAAUUUCCCUAUUUCGAUUUCUAAUUGUUCGACUUUUGCGAUUUCAUUAUUCGAUUUUAAAUCAUAAUCUCUGUUUCCUUUACAGUUUUCAUACAAAUAUUGAUUGAGUUUUUUUUUUUUUUGAUUGUGAGUACAUGCACAACGAGAUUGGAAGACUCAAUCCAAGGGAUUGCUAGUAUUGGUUGUGUGGGAAAUGUGCUUUAGACGCUCUCUUGCUUGGACCUACUACAACUUCUAUCAGUCAGCACCAACAAAAUUGGCUGGGGAGAAUUAUUUCUUUCAUUCUGGGCAGGCUUUUCCACUGGAUUUUGUACUCUUUUCUGGUUGAGGACAACUUAAGGUGUGUCAAAGGGCAGAACAAAGAACACAUUAUGAGAAUAUGAUAAUGCAAAUGUUGAGUUAUAUCACCUCGCAAUCAGCCCAAUCUACUAGUGAUCACUAAGACAAGGAAGUUUUGCUCCUGCAUACAAAAGUUGACCUUGUAGUAACUCUUGGUGGGGAUGGAACGGUCCUUUGGAAACUUGAGGACACCCAUAAUGGCUGAAAUGUUCAAUUGUACUAGCUGAUAACUUCUUGCUUUGGAGAUGAUGAUGAAGAAUAAAAUGUAUCAAAACUUUUAACUCUUGGACAGAUUUGGUCUUUGUACAAAGUGUGGUUGUUGAUAUCUUUUCUCUUAAACAAUAAUUGACAUAUCGGCAAUUUGUAUGCA